CUUCUCUCAUUCCGUUUGUUCCUUGCCGAACCCGUAAUUCCCCGGUCCAUUCCAGAUUAUAAUCUUUGCAAUCGGUGAAAAUGUAAUCUUUAUUUCCGUUUGUGACACUGUGAAGGCCUAAAAUACGAGAACCAAUCAGAAAUGGAUUCACAUUGUCUUGACUCUCAGUAUAAAGGGACUCUAGCUCAAAUGGUUUGUUUACCUUGGAGUCCAUGGAAGCUUCAUGAAAUUUGAAAGUCAGUGACAAUGGACAUGCUUGGCAGUACUUUGAGAGGCACUUUUUCUCCCAAGUCUUCUGCUGGAAUCUUAUUUUUCAAUUGCAUAGGCAUUAACAAGCACUCAUAUUUCCCACUUUGUUGAGUGACAUCAACACGUCCCUCACCCGACGUGAACCCCUCAUGGUUUCACUUCAUAUGCCGUUGUACUAUUUCGUCCUUGUUUUUUUUUUUCCGUUUGGGUUCGUAUUAUAUUUUUCCCAGGUAUUGCGCGUACUUUGUACUAAUUCGUAUUUUUCUGUUUAAUUAUGUUACAGGUGAGUACUCAAGAUUUCCUAGCGAGAAUUCUAAGUAGAGUUGGGCGGCCCUCACGAGACGGGGAUCAUCUACCUGGACGGCGGCGGGCCAGCAGCGAGGAGUCGUCGACGGACAACGAGAUCGAAAACGACAACGAAAACGAGUCGGACGCCUUCGCUUGCGAGGAAGUCACCAGGUGCAGCGUCACCUUCAUCGGAGACAACGUCCUCAUCAACGGCAAAUCUAACCUCAAAAAACACGCCAAAAGAGAAAAACUUCGUAUCCAGUUCAAGGAUGAAACGACCACCUACGAGUACGUCUCUGAAUCAUCUCUGCUGGAAGACCUCAGCCCAAGUCCCAUUCCAACCUGCGGCCAGUCCUCUCCCAGCGUUCCGUCCGUCAUAGGCAAUGUGAGUAGUUUAUCCAGCUAUACUCCAAGUAAAGCACAGUUAGGGAAUCAAGACUUUCAGCUCGGCGUCACGAGAGCAUCCUCGGCCGUCCACUCGACUGUAAACGUACCACCAUCACCCGCUCAAUCUGACCAAAGCAAAACUGAGAGUGACUACUUGAAACCGGCGGAGGACAAUGAGACCCUAACCUGGAGCGAAGGACAGUCGGCAGACUUACUCUUCUAA
rnacentral:lncRNA from 1 species